rnacentral:rRNA from 1 species
AUUGAACGCUGGCGGCAGGCUUAACACAUGCAAGUCGAACGAGCGGCGGACGGGUGAGUAAUGCUUGGGAAUCUAGCUUAUGGUGGGGGAUAACUCCGGGAAACUGUAGCUAAUACCGCGUACCAUCGGAUGAGCCCACGUGGGCUUAGGUAGUUGGUGAGGUAAAGGCUCACCAAGCCGACGAUCCCUAGCUGGUCUGCGAGGAUGACCGUACACACUGGGACUGAGACACGGCCCAGACUCCUACGGGCGGCAGCAGUGGGAAAUAUGGAGCAAUGAGGGCAACCUGACGCAGCCAUACCGCGUGAAUGAAGAAGGCCUUCGGGACGUAGAGUACUUUCAGCGGGGAGGCGUUACCCACAGAAGACGAACCGGCUAACGCCGAGGCAGCAGCCGCGGUAAUAC